rnacentral:rRNA from 1 species
UACGUAGGGGCCAAGCGUUAUCCGGAUUUACUGGGCGUAAAGCGCAUGUAGGCGGUCUGCUAAGUCGGACGUGAAAGCUCCUGGCUCAACUAGGAGAGGCCGUUCGAAACUAGUAGACUAGAGGGUGGUAGAGGAGAGCGGAAUUCCAGGUGUAGCGGUGAAAUGCGUAGAUAUCUGGAGGAACACCAGUGGCGAAAGCGGCUCUCUGGCCCAUUCCUGACGCUGAGAUGCGAAAGCCAGGGGAGAGAACGGG